UUUAUUUUGUAUUAUAAAUUAAAAUUAUUCGUUUAACACGAUUUAAGGAUAAUGUUGAUGGACUAAGGUAGUACUAAGUCUAAAAACUCUAAAAAAACAAACAACUUUUGAGUUUUUAAUUUAUAGCCAUCCCCUAGAUUUUAUAUUUGUCAGAUCAGCCUCAGAUGUGAAACAUUCAAUACUUGUGAGACUAGAUUUACAUUUUGGACAAGAACUUCUUUUAGUUAUUUGGAACGAGUCUGCACUUGAAGGAAACCGCACAGAGUCCAUAUUUAAAUAUAUUUGUUCAAAAAUAUUUUUUAUAGAAUUGGUUAUUUUACUAUGGUCAAGGUUGGGCUCUUUUAUUAAAUGUGUAUGAACUGGAAUACUACACAUUUGAGUUCUAUUAUUUUCAUAUUGUUUCUAAGAAUAAGCAAAAUUAUGACAGAAUAUAAACAUUAUAUGGGGAGAGAGGCAAAAUAGGCAGAGCUAAUUUAUCAGAAUUAUCAAAGGAAUUCUCAUGACUAAUAUUCAGUUUUUUUACAACACUGUUUGAUUUCGAAGGCAGUUGAUUUGUAUGUAUAUUGCCUUCAUCAACAAUUGCACCAAGUAUCAGGAAUAUUAUUACUUAAACCUUCAAAUUCAACUAUAGGAUAUGCAUCUAGUUUUAAAAGCAUCUUAAUAUAAAAAUAUGUGUUAAAAAAAGAAUUAUGUUAAUAAAAUAAUGUAAUAUAUA